rnacentral:tRNA from 1 species
GACGGGAUAACUAGUAACGCGUCGCACUUGUAAUGCGAAGAUCCCAGGUUCAAUUCCUGGACUCGGCA